CAUAAAUGAACCCUAGAAACAACGAUAUACAGAGACCUAACAGAUAAGCGAAACCAACUAACCACGCACCUUAACAGAAUGAUCCAACGCUCUUACCAACACUACAGACACAUGAUACACGAACACGGAGAUAAAUGCGGGAGACUGCUAGUCAACCUCCUGAAGCAACGUACAACACAACUGUAUAUACCGAAAGUAAAA